AUCUAUCUUAUUUGAUACUUGAUACUCAGUUGGAGUAAGGAAAAGUGGAUAGAACUUGUGCAUUAGAUGCAUGUUGCAGAGAGAAACCAAAGGCCAUAGCAUCCUGAAUAAGUGCUCACAAAAACAGCAUUUUCAAGACUAACGGGUUUUGACAAUAAACAAAUUAAGAGUCUUGUUACUAGUUUGGUUAUCCUGGUUAGGCCCAAUAUAAGAGACUGUAGACUUUCUUGUAAUAAUAAUAUUUAUUUUCUUCCUCAGGAACACAUUUAGACAGCCAUCAAUCUGAGGGGAGCGAGAGCUUAUAUACAGAGGAGGUGGGGCUAAUGAUAAAAAUAUGUUUCUCCUCUUGGCAAUUCCUAUCAUCCCAACGGCCUGUAAACAGGGAAGGGAGGCCAUGCCACAUUACAGCGCAGUUGGUCUAUGAAAAACAGAACCAGAAAAAUCAAAAUCAUACACCUGCAAUCAUAAUGAGAAUGUAGCUAUCAAACAACAUCAAGAAUUGUCUAAGUGUCUCCUGGCUUAUGACCAAAUAAAUAUUGAUUUGGUUAAUGGA